rnacentral:rRNA from 1 species
AACGAACGCUGGCGGCAUGCCUAACACAUGCCAGUCGAACGAGACCUUCGUGUCUAGUUGCGCACGUGUGCGUAACGCGUGGGAACCUGCCCUUAGGCUCGGAAUAACUCUUCGAAAGGGGUGCUAAUACCGGAUAAUGUCUUCGGACCAAAGAUUUAUCGCCUUUGGAUGGGCCGGCGUUGUAUUAGCUAGUUGGUAGGGUAAAAGCCUACCAAGGCGACGAUCCAUAGCUGGUCUGAGAGGAUGAUCAGCCACACUGGGACUGAGACACGGCCCAGACUCCUACGGGAGGCAGGAGUGGGGAAUAUUGGACAAUGGGCGAGAGCCUGAUCCAGCAAUGCCGCGUGAGUGAUGAAGGCCUUAGAGUUGUAAAGCUCUUUUAACCGGGAUGAUAAUGACGGUACCGGGAGAAUAAGCACCGGCUAACUCCGUG